UCCUCUGGCCUCAGCCUUCCAAGUAGCUGGCACUACAGGCAUGCACCACCAUGCCCAGCUAAUUUUUAAAAUUGUUUUGUAGAGAGGUCUCAGCAUAUUGCCCAGGCUGGUCUCAAAUUGCUGGGCUUAAGCAGUUCUGCCUUGGCCUCCCAAAGUGCUGGAAUUAUAGGCAUGAGCCACGGUGCCUAGCCAUGGACCUACUUUUGUCAAGAUUCCCCCCUUGGUACCUCCAGUCUGGAAGGCACCGCAGUGGGAAGUGCGAGGCCCAUGGAGGCAGGGACACGUGCACAGUUCUGGGCCUUGAGGGUGCCGGGCUGGAGGACACUGAUGUACCUGGAGGCUGAGCUUUCUCUUCUGUCCCCAUGUUGGCCAGGCAACCACGAGACAGACAACAUGAACCAGAUCUACGGUUUCGAGGGUGAGGUGAAGGCCAAGUACACAGCCCAGAUGUACGAGCUCUUUAGCGAGGUGUUCGAGUGGCUCCCGUUGGCCCAGUGCAUCAACGGCAAAGUGCUGAUCAUGCACGGAGGCCUGUUCAGUGAAGACGGCGUCACCCUGGAUGACAUCCGGAAAAUUGAGCGGAAUCGACAACCCCCAGAUUCAGGUCCCAUGUGUGACCUGCUCUGGUCAGAUCCACAGCCGCAGAACGGGCGCUCGGUCAGCAAGCGGGGCGUGAGCUGUCAGUUUGGGCCUGACGUCACCAAGGCCUUCUUGGAAGAGAACAACCUGGACUAUAUCAUCCGCAGCCACGAGGUCAAGGCCGAGGGCUACGAGGUGGCUCACGGAGGCCGCUGUGUCACCGUCUUCUCUGCCCCCAACUACUGCGACCAGAUGGGGAACAAAGCCUCCUAUAUCCAUCUCCAGGGCUCUGACCUACGGCCUCAGUUCCACCAGUUCACAGCAGUGCCUCAUCCCAACGUCAAGCCCAUGGCCUACGCCAACACGCUGCUGCAGCUGGGAAUGAUGUGAGGAGGCGGGCGGGGCGGCCUGCACCCCAGGGACCCUCCACUCCCACCGGACCUGGGCCCUGGGCCCGGGGCAGAGCAGGCCCCGCCCCAGGGCAACGUUGGACCCCCUUUUACUUUGUAAAGUUUGUAUUUAUUCCCCUUUAGGUUUGCAGAGGGGGUAGGGGCAGAGUCAGGGGCUGGCCAGAGGGUCUGCUCCCUGGACAGAGAGGAAGGAGGUGGAGCAGCUGGGGCUGGGGGCACAGCCCUGGCAUUCUGUAGGGAGGCCAUCCUCGGGGUGGGGUGGGGCUGAGUGGCUGCCCUGCCCCCCUCGUUUGCAUGGCUCCUCCCCCA
rnacentral:sRNA from 1 species